CCCUUAGAUGUUCUGGGCCGCACGCGCGCGACACUGUUCGACGCAGCGAGUCUUAACCUUGACCGAAAGGUUUGGGUAAUCUUCAGCAAAGUCGAACGUGAUGGGGAUCGAUCAUUGCAAUUAUUGAUCGUGAACGAGGAAUUCCUAGUAAGUGCAAGUCAUCAGCUUGCGCUGAUUACGUCCCUGCCCUUUGUACACACCGCCCGUCGCUACUACCGAUUGAAUGGUUUAGUGAGAUCUCUGGAUUGACGCUGGCUAGGGGGCGACCCUUGGCCAGACUGUUGAGAAACUGCUCAAACUUGAUCAUUUAGAGGAAGUAAAAGUCGUAACA
rnacentral:rRNA from 1 species